CCUUCCAUGAAGCUGGAAUUGCUAGUAAUGGCAGGUCAGCAUACUGCCGUGAAUACGUUCCCGGGCCUUGUACACACCGCCCGUCACACCAUGAGAGUUGGAAAUACCCGAAGCCUGUGAGCUAACAGUAAUGAGGCAGCAGUCGAAGGUAGAGCCAAUGAUUGGGGUGAAGUCGUAACAAGGUAGC
rnacentral:rRNA from 1 species